UCUCCGUAGGUGAACCUGCGGAGGGAUCAUUACUGAGUGAGGGCCUUCGGGCUCGACCUCCAACCCUUUGUGAAUCGUACUCGUUGCUUCGGGGGCGACCCUGCCGCUUCGGCGGUGCGGCGCCCCCGGAGGCCAUUAAACACUGCAUCAUUGCGUCGGAGUUAAAGUAAAUUAAACAAAACUUUCAACAACGGAUCUCUUGGUUCCAGCAUCGAUGAAGAACGCAGC
rnacentral:misc_RNA from 1 species